rnacentral:rRNA from 1 species
GAUGAACGCUGGCGGCGUGCCUAAUACAUGCAAGUCGAGCGAACAGACGAGUAGCUUGCUCCUCUGACGUUAGCGGCGGACGGGUGAGUAACACGUGGAUAACCUACCUAUAAGACUGGGAUAACUUCGGGAAACCGGAGCUAAUACCGGAUAAUAUAUUGAACCGCAUGGUUCAAUAGUGAAAGACGGUUUUGCUGUCACUUAUAGAUGGAUCCGCGCCGCAUUAGCUAGUUGGUAAGGUAACGGCGUACCAAGGCAACGAUGCGUAGCCGACCUGAGAGGAUGAUCGGCCACACUGGAACUGAGACAAGGUACAGACUCCUACGGGAGGCAGCAGUAGGGAAUCGUCCGCAAUGGGCGAAAGAUUGACGGAGCAACGCCGCGUGAGUGAUGAAGGUCUUCGGAUCGUAAAACUCUGUUAUUAGGGAAGAACAAAUGUGUAAGUAACGAUGCACGUCUUGACGGUACCUAAUCAGAAAGCCACGGCUAACUACGUG